rnacentral:rRNA from 1 species
GUCUAUGGCCAUACCACCCAGAAUGCGUCUGAUCUUUUCUGGCUUCAAAAGCUAAGCAGGGUUGGGCCUGUUUAGUACUUGGAUGGGAGACUGUGCAGCCACUGAAU